CAAAGGAGAAACCGAUGGGAGAUGGACUCGCGGCUGAUUAGAUAGUUGGCGGGGUAGAGGCCCACCAAGUCGACGAUCAGUAGCCGGACUGAGAGGUUGAACGGCCACAUUGGGACUGAGACACGGCCCAGACUCCUACGGGAGGCAGCAGUGGGGGAUAUUGCACAAUGGGGGAAACCCUGAUGCAGCGACGCCGCGUGAGGGAAGACGGUUUUCGGAUUGUAAACCUCUGUCUUUGGGGACGAAUUGAGACGGUACCCAAGGAGGAAGCUCCGGCUAACUACGUGCCAGCAGCCGCGGUAAUACGUAGGGAGCAAGCGUUGUCCGGAAUUACUGGGUGUAAAGGGAGCGUAGGCGGGAUAGUAAGUUGAUUGUUAAAACUAUCGGCUCAACUGGUAGACUGCGAUCAAAACUGCAAUUCUUGAGUGAAGUAGAGGCAGGCGGAAUUCCUAGUGUAGCGGUGAAAUGCGUAGAUAUUAGGAGGAACACCAGUGGCGAAGGCGGCCUGCUGGGCUUUAACUGACGCUGAGGCUCGAAAGUGUGGGUAGCAAACAGGAUUAGAUACCCUGGUAGUCCACACUGUAAACGAUGAUUACUAGGUGUGGGUGGACUGACCCCAUCC
rnacentral:rRNA from 1 species